ACGGGAGGCAGCAGUGGGGAAUAUUGCACAAUGGAGGAAACUCUGAUGCAGCAACGCCGCGUGAAGGAUGAAGGUCUUCGGAUCGUAAACUUCUGUCCUUGGGGAAGAUAAUGACGGUACCCUUGGAGGAAGCCCCGGCUAACUACGUGCCAGCAGCCGCGGUAAUACGUAGGGGGCAAGCGUUAUCCGGAAUUAUUGGGUGUAAAGAGUGCGUAGGUGGUUACCUAAGCAGGGGGUGAAAGGCAGUGGCUUAACCAUUGUUAGCCCCCUGAACUGAGCUUCUUGAGUGCAGGAGAGGAAAGCGGAAUUCCUAGUGUAGCGGUGAAAUGCGUAGAUAUUAGGAGGAACGCCAGUGGCGAAGGCGGCUUUCUGGACUGUUACUGACGCUGAGGCACGAAAGUGUGGGGAGCAAACAGGAUUAGAUACCCUGGUA
rnacentral:rRNA from 1 species